AUACGUAGGGGGCAAGCGUUGUCCGGAAUUAUUGGGCGUAAAGCGCGCGCAGGCGGUCCAUUAAGUCUGGUGUUUAAAACUGGGGCUCAACCCUGGUACGCACUGGAAACUGGUGGACUUGAGUGCAAGAGAGGAGAGUGGAAUUCCACGUGUAGCGGUGAAAUGCGUAGAGAUGUGGAGGAACACCAGUGGCGAAGGCGACUCUCUGGCUUGCAACUGACGCUGAGGCGCGAAAGCGUGGGUAGCGAACAGGAUUAGAUACCCUGGUAGUCCACGCCGUAAACGAUGAAUGCUAGGUGUUAGGGGUUACGAAGCCCUUAGUGCCGAAGUCAACACAUUAAGCAUUCCGCCUGGGGAGUACGGUCGCAAGACUGAA
rnacentral:rRNA from 1 species